CCUUCUUUUUCCCGCUUUUUCCGGAAUUAUUGGGCGUAAAGCGCGCGCAGGCGGUUUUGUAAGACAGAGGUGAAAUCCCCGGGCUCAACCUGGGAACUGCCUUUGUGACUGCAAGGCUGGAGUGCGGCAGAGGGGGAUGGAAUUCCGCGUGUAGCAGUGAAAUGCGUAGAUAUGCGGAAGAACACCGAUGGCGAAGGCAAUCCCCUGGGCCUGCACUGACGCUCAUGCACGAAAGCGUGGGGAGCAACCAGGA
rnacentral:rRNA from 1 species